rnacentral:lncRNA from 1 species
AAAGAAGGAAGAGGUUUUUAUUCGGCCGGGAGCGUCGGCAGACUCGCGUCUUAAGAGCCGAGCUCCCCGAAAAAGAAAUUCCUAGCCCUUUUAAGAGCUUACAACUCUAAGGGGUCCACGUGAAAGGGUCAUAAUAGAUCAAGUAAGCGUGAGGAACGUGACUGGGGGCUACACACAUCAGCUAAUAGGACAAAAAGUUUUACGGUGCUUUCUCACACAAUGUCUGGGAUUUACAGAUAACACCAGUCGUUUUGGUCAGGGGUUAAUAUUAUUAUCAUUUUAACCACCAGGGCCAGGUGGUGGCGCCAAGGUCGUCUAGCUAUUUAUCUUACUUCUGUUUCUUUCCAGCUUUUUGCUUUCUCCCUUUUCUCCUGUCUUAUAAACUAGGGAAAAGGGGAGGUUGGGGAGAAGCUGGGAAGGACAACAGGAGAAGUGGUGGUCUCAUUCCAUAGCAGUAGCGCUGUCCCCUUUUCCUUCCUGGGCAUCUGAACCCCCUGGGAUUCCCCUGAGCUGGGUGCAGGCACGGAGCUGCUGGCUGGCUUGCUCAUACUGCUGUCUGAGUGACUCUUCUCCUGGGGGUAGCUCCCUCCCCACCCUGGAGGUCAGCAGCUUGGGCCAAGGUCCCUGGCACAGGGCCAUAAGCUAUUUCAGUGCUUUCAGGUUGCCUGGAAGGGAUGUCAGGGAGCCCACCGGCCUCUGUACGGCCGACCUAAUCUCACCCACUGAAACAUUAGCCUCGGGGCCAACUCUGGCCUCACCCUUGGCAGGGACAGGAAGGCACUGGCUCACGCUAGAGCCACAGCUCGGCUGUCCACCAGGGCACAGUCAAGGGCUGGGUGCAUUGCUAGCUCCCAGGUUUUUCUGUUGCCGUACUCCCAUCCCCACUUUAAUCCUAGCACUCAGCCCCGUCUAAAUCCCUUCCAGAAGUCCUUGUGCACCCACCAGCCAAGAACAAGGAACAAGCUGUGUCUUCAGAAAUCUCUGGCAACCUUGGCCCCAGACAGGCUCUCUGAUGCAGCUGGGAACAGGAAGUUUCACACCAAAAAAAAAAAAAAAAAAAAAAAAAAGUCCCAUUUUAUUGAGAAAAUAGUGUCAAUCCCUCCAUCUUUCCUAGGUGACUCCCGCUGAGGUAGGAGGUGGCAACCUUCUGCACCCACCCCCACAGCUGAUCCAUCCCUUCACCGGGGCAGAUGCUGGUCUGCUAGGCCCUGGAGAAGCAGGGUGCGGUGGGGCAGGGCUCUGGAGGGGGCUGGGCUGUGAGGGGCCUGGGGGUGCUGAGGGCAGGCAGCUGGAAUGAGGGGAGGGAAGGGAGGAGGGCCAGGGAGGACACCACCCCCUCCUGAAGCCUGGAGCCUUCUCCCUCCAAAUUCUUCAUAAAUAAAACUUCACAGUAAUAGAGGAAUGUCCACUUCCAGGGCCAAACCGGCUGUUGCGGUUCCGGGAGAUGCCGAAAGUCUUGAAGCCCUCGUGGGCCGUGGGCUGCACGCCCAGCACCUCCAGGCACAUGCCCAGAAAGACGUCGUCGAUCGGGUAGAGCUCCAGGGUGUCGCAGGCAUGGUGCAGGCGCCGGGCCAGGCUGCCGGCCAUGAGGAAGCCACCGCCGCCUGCAUACGGCGGAUAGCUGGCCUUGCCGUACAGGGCCCCCGGGAUGUAGUAUUUGUUGUCUUUCCUGCGAAUGGGCCGAGCGUGCUGCAGGACAUCGCCCACGAACAGGUUUUCCUGUGGCUGCCGGUCAGCCAGAAAUUCUAGCAGGUUGGUGGGGUUGACGAAGACGUCAUCGUCGCCUUUGAAAAUGAAGGGGACGUGGGGGCAGUAGAUGUCCAGCCACUUGAGGAAGUGGAUCUCCUUGAGGGUCAGGUUGAA